ACGAACAGUUUCGUAAUAACAGUAGAUGAUCGAAAGAUAGAGAAGAAGAACACAAGAGAAGAGGAAAAACUCAAUUCAUUCGAUGGUAGAUAGCAUAGAAAUCAGACAUUUCUUCAGAGUUUCUAACCUGAUCGAACAAUAAGAGGAAUGAAUCGCAAUAAUCUCUGACAGUACCUUCUUGCCGUAUUGACAUAAUCUUGUCCAAAGCCAAUUCCAUGUUGUUUCAAUAAUUUCUUGAUUGCUGGACACUGUUGUGAAUCACCAGAACCGAUGGUUGAACCGUUUCUUGCCCUAAUUCGAAGUCACCCAAAUCUGAUUGUUGAACCCUAAUUCGAUUGCUGCAGUAGAACACCGUUGUUACCCGAAUCUUAACCCACGGUCGUGAGGAAAGAUUGCUCUGAUACCAUUGUUACGAACAGUUUCGUAAUAACAGUAGAUGAUCGAAAGAUAGAGAAGAAGAACACAAGAGAAGAGGAAAAACUCAAUUCAUUCGAUGGUUAAGUCUGUUACAACGCACACACUAUAUAGCCACUAACUACCAAUAACCCCCUAGACUAUACAACAAUUACAUAUAGGCCCCUUUACUUAUUUUGACCCGUA
rnacentral:lncRNA from 1 species